AAAUUAUCAAAGUUAUCCAAUAAAUUAAACAUAAUUUCCUAAUCGUAUUUUUUUUUCUUUUUUUAUUAUUAAAAGGGAAAUAUUUAAUCUUUAAAAACUAAUUACAUAUUUUAUUAGGCCUAAUUAACCAUAACUCUAAUUUAAAUCCUUAAUCAUACUUGUAUGUUAAUUAUAAUUAUCUAGAUAAUUGUUUAGUUAUUUUU
rnacentral:lncRNA from 1 species